CUGGUUAUCUUGUACUGAAUACAUAGGUGCAAGAGGCGAACCAGGGGAACUGAAACAUCUAAGUACCCUGAGGAAAAGAAAUCAACCGAGAUUCCCUUAGUAGUGGCGAGCGAACGGGGACCAGCCCUUAAGUUGAUUUGAGAUUAGCGGAACGCUCUGGAAAGUGCGGCCAUAGUGGGUGAUAGCCCUGUACGCGAAAAUCUCUUGUCAAUGAAAUCGAGUAGGACGGGGCACGAGAAACCUUGUCUGAACAUGGGGGGACCAUCCUCCAAGGCUAAAUACUACUGACUGACCGAUAGUGAACCAGUACCGUGAGGGAAAGGCGAAAAGAACCCCGGAGAGGGGAGUGAAAUAGAACCUGAAACCGUAUACGUACAAGCAGUAGGAGCAGACUUGUUCUGUGACUGCGUACCUUUUGUAUAAUGGGUCAGCGACUUAUAUUCUGUAGCAAGGUUAACCGAAUAGGGGAGCCGUAGGGAAACCGAGUCUUAAUAGGGCGUCUAGUUGCAGGGUAUAGACCCGAAACCGAGUGAUCUAUCCAUGAGCAGGUUGAAAGUGACGUAACAGUUACCGGAGGACCGAACCCACUG
rnacentral:rRNA from 14 species